UACGUAGGGUGCAAGCGUUAAUCGGAAUUACUGGGCGUAAAGCGUGCGCAGGCGGUUCGCUAAGACCGAUGUGAAAUCCCCGGGCUUAACCUGGGAACUGCAUUGGUGACUGGCGGCUAGAGUAUGGCAGAGGGGGUAGAAUUCCGACGUGUAGCAGUGAAAUGCGUAGAGAUGUGGAGGAAUACCGAUGGCGAAGGCAGCCCCUGGGCCAAUACUGACGCUCAUGCACGAAAGCGUGGGAGCAAACAGG
rnacentral:rRNA from 1 species